CGAGCGGGAAUUCACAGACUGAUUCUCGGAGAUUAACUUAGUGGCGAACGGGUGAGUAACGCGUGAGAAACCUGCCUUUCAGUGGGGGACAACAGUUGGAAACGACUGCUAACACCGCAUAAUGUAUAAAUGGGGCAUCCCAUUUAUACCAAAGCUUUAUGUGCUGAAAGAUGGUCUCGCGUCUGAUUAGCUAGAUGGCGGGGUAACGGCCCACCAUGGCGACGAUCAGUAGCCGGUCUGAGAGGAUGAACGGCCACAUUGGGACUGAGAUACGGCCCAGACUCCUACGGGAGGCAGCAGUGGGGAAUAUUGGGCAAUGGGGGAAACCCUGACCCAGCAACGCCGCGUGAAGGAAGAAGGCCUUCGGGUUGUAAACUUCUUUUAGCAGGGACGAAGAACGUGACGGUACCUGCAGAAAAAGCAACGGCUAACUACGUG
rnacentral:rRNA from 1 species